GAUGAACGCUGGCGGCGUGCCUAAUACAUGCAAGUAGAACGCUGAAGGAGGAGCUUGCUCUUCUGGAUGAGUUGCGAACGGGUGAGUAACGCGUAGGUAACCUGCCUGGUAGCGGGGGAUAACUAUUGGAAACGAUAGCUAAUACCGCAUGACAACAGUUAUUGCAUGAUAACUGUUUAAAAGGGGCAACUGCUCCACUACCAGAUGGACCUGCGUUGUAUUAGCUAGUUGGUGAGGUAACGGCUCACCAAGGCGACGAUACAUAGCCGACCUGAGAGGGUGAUCGGCCACACUGGGACUGAGACACGGCCCAGCCUCCUACGGGAGGCAGCAGUAGGGAGUCUUCGGCAAUGGACGGAAGUCUGACCGAGCAACGCCGCGUGAGUGAAGAAGGUUUUCGGAUCGUAAAGCUCUGUUGUAAGAGAAGAACGAGUGUGAGAGUGGAAAGUUCACACUGUGACGGUAUCUUACCAGAAAGGGACGGCUAACUACGUG
rnacentral:rRNA from 1 species